rnacentral:tRNA from 1 species
AGGGCCUAUAGCUCAGUCGGUUAGAGCAGCGGACUCAUAAUCCGUUGGUCCACAGUUCGAGUCUGUGUGGGCCCACC